rnacentral:rRNA from 1 species
GAGUUUGAUCCUGGCUCAGAAUGAACGCUGGCGGCGUGCUUAACUCAUGCAAGUCGAGCGCGAACGUGGCUUCGGCCACUAGUAGAGCGGCGAACGGGUGAGUAACACGUGGAUAACCUGCCUGGGAGCGGGGGACAACUUGGGGAAACUCGAGCUAAUACCGCAUACGUUCACAUCUUCGCGGAGGUGUGAAGAAAGGUGGCCUUCGGGCUGCCACUCCCAGAGGGGUCCGCGGCUGAUUAGCUAGUUGGUGGGGUAAUGGCCCACCAAGGCGACGAUCAGUAGCCGGCCUGGGAGGGUGAACGGCCACACUGGAACUGAGACACGGUCCAGACUCCUACGGGAGGCAGCAGUGGGGAAUAUUGGACAAUGGGCGAAAGCCUGAUCCAGCAACGCCGCGUGGAGGACGAAGGCCUUCGGGUUGUAAACUCCUGUCAGGUGGGACGAAAAGACUUCGGUUAAUACCCGGAGUCCCUGAC